rnacentral:rRNA from 1 species
GACGAACGCUGGCGGCGUGCUUAACACAUGCAAGUCGAGCGGUAAGGCCCUUCGGGGUACACGAGUGGCGAACGGGUGAGUAACACGUGGGUGAUCUGCCCUGCACUUCGGGAUAAGCCUGGGAAACUGGGUCUAAUACCGGAUAGGACCACUGCCUGCAUGGGUGGUGGUGGAAAGCUUUUGCGGUGUGGGAUGGGCCCGCGGCCUAUCAGCUUGUUGGUGGGGGGAUGGCCUACCAAGGCGACGACGGGUAGCCGGCCUGAGAGGGUGACCGGCCACACUGGGACUGAGAUACGGCCCAGACUCCUGCGGGAGGCAGCAGUGGGGAAUAUUGCACAAUGGGCGCAAGCCUGAUGCAGCGACGCCGCGUGAGGGAUGACGGCCUUCGGGUUGUAAACCUCUUUCAGCACCGACGAAGCGCAAGUGACGGUAGGUGCAGAAGAAGGACCGGCCAACUACGUGCCAGCAGCCGCGGUAA